AGAGCGAACGCUGGCGGCAGGCCUAACACAUGCAAGUCGAGCGCCCCGCAAGGGGAGCGGCAGACGGGAGAGUAACACGUGGGAACGUACCCUUCAGUACGGAACAACCAAGGGAAACUUUGGCUAAUACCGUAUACGUCCGUAAGGAGAAAGAUUUAUCGCUGAAGGAUCGGCCCGCGUCUGAUUAGCUUGUUGGUGAGGUAACGGCUCACCAAGGCUACGAUCAGUAGCUGGUCUGAGAGGAUGAUCAGCCUCACUGGGACUGAGACACGGCCCAGACUCCUACGGGAGGCAGCAGUGGGGAAUAUUGGACAAUGGGCGCAAGCCUGAUCCAGCCAUGCCGCGUGGGUGAUGAAGGCCCUAGGGUUGUAAAGCCCUUUCGGCGGGAAGAUAAUGACGGUACCCGCAGAAGAAGCCCCGGCUAACUUCGUGCCAGCAGCCGC
rnacentral:rRNA from 1 species